UCGCUAUUAUAAUUUUGCAGAAAUGUCAAAUGUAUCCAAUAAAUAGGGGUAUAAAUACCAUUCCCAUGUGAAUUGUAAAAUAUUAAGUGUUAACGUUUUUGAAGAGUAUUCCGUAAAAAUGAGGAACUGUGUGUGCUUUUUUCUGUAUACUCUAUGUUUAAUGCUGUUUGUCUCCAAGAUAUGUGCAUUUACAGGUCGACAAAUGAAGGAUCCACCUGGAGCUGAAGUUCCAUGUACAACAGCAGUUGGUAUGCUCAAAGUAGGAGAAUCAAAGAAAUCUUACACAGACUGUAUCGAAUAUUAUUGUGGAGCGGGUGACAUUAGCAUUGUUGGCAUCGGUUACAAUGCCGGGAAGUUUGGUAUAGAAGGAUGUUUCCAGGUAAAUUUGGAUAACUGUUGUUAUAUGUUUAUGAAUUCUACCAAUCCAUCUGAAAGCUGUACAGAACCCAGCUGUCCGUGAAAAGAUUAAAAAUGUACUGGUUGUUAAAUGCUUCUAUAUUUCAAAAUACUUUUCUAGAUAAAAUAAUUGAAAUAUAGAUUGCCAAAUAAAGGUCAUUCGUGAAUUCGAGAAUUGAGUUUUAAUUUUGAGGCUCGAGACAGUGGCGGAAUUAGAUGACGCGAGGUCCUAGGCUAUUCCAUUAAGGAACUAUUGCCUCAUAACUGGGGGAAGAUGAAAGUUUGUUUUAAACACAAUUCAGCAAUGCCGAAGAGGGUGGCGGUUAUUCAACACUGCAGUACAUGUAACAAAUGCUUAUGAAAGUGUCAAAAGUAUUAUACACCUUGGUCGGGGGUCUCCAACAUGUUAAUCACCAUGUAUAUGCAUACGUGUAUAUACUGCUAAGGAAAUACUUAAAGUGCUGCGGGAAUUUUUUUUCACGUCCAUUCAUCUUGUACUGUCGUGGAUGCAACAGGAACAACCCUCCUGGUUCUUUCAUAUAAUGGGGAUUAGCUUAACUGUUAAAAAAAUCUACUAGUCAGAGAGUUGAAGAUUAAUGUCUUCAAACUUCCUGGGAUUGUUCUACUAGCGAUAAAAUGAAACUUCCCGGUGUCCCGAAUCGUGGGGGGGGGGGGGGGGGUUGGAUGGUCGAAUGGUUAUCACGUGCUCGCUGUAUCAUAAGAUCUGUUGCGCGUGGUUACAAGGAGUAGGGUCGCCUGUUCAACUUCGUGGGUUUUCUCUGGGUCCCCCGGUUUCCCCCCACUGCUAAGGACCCCUACGCACAAGCGAAUUAUUGAAAUAGAAUUGAACCAUGUGUUAGUCCCGAAAUGACCUAGUUUGUGUCGAGUGGACGUUAAACCCCAUUUCUCUUUCUAUCUCUUGGUUUCGAAUCCCCGGUUGUACGUGGCAAGGAGUAGGGUCGCCUGUCCAACCUCGUGGGUUUUCUCCGGGUCCUCCGGUUUCCUCCCACUGCUAAAGACCCCUACGCGCAAGCGAAUUAUUGAAAUAAAAUUAAACCAUAUGUUAGUCCAGAAAUGACCUAGUUUGUGUCUAGUGGACGUUAAACCCCAUUUCUCUCUCUCUCUCUCUGUUCCGAAUCGUGUAUAAGUAUAGGGUAGAAUGAUAAAGUUUAAUAAAACAAAAACGUGCUGCGCCAAUCCAUAUAUGCUCUUCAAAAAAAGUAUGGGAUAUUGAAAUGAAAAUACUUAUGCAGGUUGCGAUAUGAUAUGGACAUUUGACAUGCUUUGAGAGUAUGUUCACAGAUGAAGAACUUAUCGCCCCAACAGAACCACUGAGCUGCACAUGCGACACGCAAUAGCGCCAUACAAGUGAGAGGUUUUCAUUGUCAAAUUUGACACUUCAAGGAAGGGUUGAUGAAAACUGCGGCGUGCUGGUUUAUCUAUCCAUGUUUGCUUUCCUAUCGGUUCUUGCAUAAGAUUUACUGUUUAGCAUAUCUUUGCUUUAGUGUGUUACGUUUAAUUUGAUCGGGGGACGUGUUCGUCGACGUCAACCUCAACCGACAACACUGCAAGCAUUGGCCGUGGCACUGCAAGAGGAGUGGGUCAGAUUUCCCCAAAUCGUGACUGGACGGUGAUUAGAAGCAUGCCACGAAGAAUUGCUGAAUGUCUGAGGAUUGGUGGAGCAAUUACUCAUUAUUAAGACAAAAAUCAAAAACGUCCAUUUUCACUUUUGAAAAUUAGACAUCAUCACUAAAUUUCUUGUAAAAAAAUGAUUGUGAUUAAGUUAGAAGUUCAGUCAUUGGUUUUCUAUUACGAACAACCAUUUUUAGACUGAUAUCACAUUUACAGAUUCAUCUUUUACAAUACUGUAGUUUGGAAUACACCCAGAUACUUUAAGUAGCGACAAUAUAUAUUAAACAAUCAGGUUAACAUAAUUUGUAAAACUGCGCAUAUAACUGAUUAUUAAUUAUUAUGACAUUUGGUGUCACUUGUUUGUAACUGACAUUUUCAAAUGAACAGAGGUGUACAAUGUACAUGCUGUGAUGAUUCAGCAGUUGUUAAUUAUUUGUUAAUAUAAGAUUUAAUUUGACACAGAUGUGUCCUCUGAAUAGGUACCAGUUCGGCAAAAAAGAGUCACCAAAAUAUUGAUGUUGCAAUAAUUGAUUUAAUAUCUAUCUUAACUGCUGUUUUAAUUUCGCACAGAUGUCAAAUGUUUCUACUGAAUAAGGGUAUAAAUACCAUUCCCUUGUGAAUUGUGAAAUAUUAACUGUUCACGUUUUUGAAGAGUAUUCCGUAAAAAUGAGGAACUGUGUAUGCUUUUUUCUGUAUACUCUCUGUUUAAUUAUGUUUGUCUCCAAGAUAUGUGCAUUUACAGCUCUACAAUGGAAGGAUCCACCUGGAGCUGAUGUUCCAUGUACUACAUCAGUUGGUAUUCUCCAAGUAGGAGAAUCAAAGAAAUCCUAUACAGAGUGUGUCGAAUAUUAUUGUGAAGCGGAUUACAUUAGCAUUGCUGGCAUCGGUUACAAUGCCGGGAAGGUUGGUUUCAACGGAUGUUUCCAGAUAAAUUUGGAUAACUGCUGCUUUACGUUUAUGAAUUCUACCAAUCCCUCUGAAAGCUGUACAGAACCCAGUUGUCCGUGAAAAGAUUGAUAAUGUACUGGUUGUUAAAUGCUUCUAUAUUUCAAAAUACUUUUCUAGAUAAAAUAAUUGAAAUAUAGAUUGCCAAAUAAAGUUCAUUCGUGAA